GAAGGGCACUGAAAGGGCUUCUCGCCUGUGUGGGUGCGCAGGUGUUGCUUCAAGUUGAAGUUACGUGAGAAGCUCCGAGAGCAUGAAGGGCACUGAAAUGGCUUCUCACCUGUGUGGGUGCGCAUGUGGCCUUUCAGGAUGUCUCUUCUUGAGAAGCUCCGAGGGCAGAAAUGGCACUUAAACAAAUGCUCGCCAGUAUGGACCCUGACAUGUGCUUCCAAACGAAACAGUGUAUCAGCCUCAUAGCCACGGGGGUGAUCUUGUUGAAGGCAUCCCUGCUGUGAAUUGUCACCGUUGGCUCUGGACGGAGAAACAGAAG
rnacentral:lncRNA from 1 species